GAUGAACGCUGGCGGCGUGCCUAAUACAUGCAAGUCGAGCGAACAGAUGAGGAGCUUGCUCCUCUGACGUUAGCGGCGGACGGGUGAGUAACACGUGGAUAACCUACCUAUAAGACUGGGAUAACUUCGGGAAACCGGAGCUAAUACCGGAUAAUAUAUUGAACCGCAUGGUUCAAUAGUGAAAGACGGUUUUGCUGUCACUUAUAGAUGGAUCCGCGCCGCAUUAGCUAGUUGGUAAGGUAACGGCUUACCAAGGCGACGAUGCGUAGCCGACCUGAGAGGGUGAUCGGCCACACUGGAACUGAGACACGGUCCAGACUCCUACGGGAGGCAGCAGUAGGGAAUCUUCCGCAAUGGGCGAAAGCCUGACGGAGCAACGCCGCGUGAGUGAUGAAGGUCUUCGGAUCGUAAAACUCUGUUAUUAGGGAAGAACAAAUGUGUAAGUAACUAUGCACGUCUUGACGGUACCUAAUCAGAAGGCCACGGCUAACUACGUG
rnacentral:rRNA from 1 species